UACGUAGGGUGCGAGCGUUAAUCGGAAUUACUGGGCGUAAAGAGUGUGUAGGCGGUGCUCCCAGUCUGUUGUGAAAUCUCCCGGCUUAACUGGGAGGGUGCAGCGGAAACUAGAGUGCUAGAGGGUGGGAGAGGUAAGCGGAAUUCCUGGUGUAGCGGUGAAAUGCGUAGAUAUCAGGAGGAACACCUGUGGUGUAGACAGCUUACUGGACCAUUUCUGACGCUGAGACACGAAAGCGUGGGUAGCAAACAGG
rnacentral:rRNA from 1 species